GACGAACGCUGGCGGCGUGCUUAACACAUGCAAGUCGAACGCUGAAGCUCAGCUUUUGUUGGGUGGAUGAGUGGCGAACGGGUGAGUAACACGUGAGUAACCUGCCCCCUUCUUUGGGAUAACGCCCGGAAACGGGUGCUAAUACUGGAUAUUCACUGGUCUUCGCAUGGGGGUUGGUGGAAAGGGUUUUUCUGGUGGGGGAUGGGCUCGCGGCCUAUCAGCUUGUUGGUGGGGUGAUGGCCUACCAAGGCUUUGACGGGUAGCCGGCCUGAGAGGGUGACCGGUCACAUUGGGACUGAGCUACGGCCCAGACUCCUCCGGGGGGCAGCAGUGGGGAAUAUUGCACAAUGGGCGCAAGCCUGAUGCAGCGUCGCCGCGUGAGGGAUGGGGGCCGUCGGGUUGUGAACCUCUUUCGCUCAUGGUCAAGCCGCAACAAUGGUUGUGGUGAGGGUAGUGGGUAAAGAAGCGCCGGCUAACUACGUG
rnacentral:rRNA from 1 species